rnacentral:misc_RNA from 1 species
UGGUGUCCGAGUUCCAGCGUCACCAACUCGGAAGCCCGAUGACGGAUGCCGUGGGCGAUAUAGUCUCCAGAGAUAUUAAGGAUACCGCCUCCAUCUAGGACACCGCGGACGAUGAUGUGGGUAUGCGGANNNNNNNNNNUUGUAAUGAUCGAUCGCGAUCCAAUCGAGACGCGUCUCCAGGUCCGUCUCCAUCUGUCGCA